GCUAGUAAUCGCGGAUCAGCAUGCCGCGGUGAAUACGUUCCCGGGCCUUGUACACACCGCCCGUCACACCAUGAGAGUCGGGACACCCGAAGUCCGUAGUCUAACCGCAAGGGGGACGCGGCCGAAGGUGGAUUCGAUAAUUGGGGUGAAGUCGUAACAAGGUAAC
rnacentral:rRNA from 1 species